UACGGGGGGGGCAAGCGUUGUUCGGAAUUACUGGGCGUAAAGGGCUCGUAGGCGGCCAACUAAGUCGGACGUGAAAUCCCCAGGCUCAACCUGGGAACUGCGUCCGAUACUGGAUGGCUUGAAUCCGGGAGAGGGAUGCAGAAUUCCAGGUGUAGCGGUGAAAUGCGUAGAUAUCUGGAGGAACACCGGUGGCGAAGGCGGCUUUCUGGACAGAUACCGACGCUGAGGCACGAAAGCUAGGGGAGCAAACAGG
rnacentral:rRNA from 1 species